CUGGCGGCAGGCCUAACACAUGCAAGUCGAGCGCUUACCUUCGGGUAGGAGCGGCGGACGGGUUAGUAACGCGUGGGAAUAUACCCUUCACUACGGAAUAGCCUCGGGAAACUGAGAGUAAUACCGUAUACGCCCUUCGGGGGAAAGAUUUAUCGGUGAAGGAUUAGCCCGCGUAAGAUUAGAUAGUUGGUGGGGUAAUGGCCUACCAAGUCUACGAUCUUUAGCUGGUUUUAGAGGAUGAUCAGCAACACUGGGACUGAGACACGGCCCAGACUCCUACGGGAGGCAGCAGUGGGGAAUCUUGGACAAUGGGCGCAAGCCUGAUCCAGCCAUGCCGCGUGUGUGAUGAAGGCCUUAGGGUCGUAAAGCACUUUCGCCAGAGAUGAUAAUGACAGUAUCUGGUAAAGAAACCCCGGCUAACUCCGUGCCAGCAGCCGCGGUAAUACGGAGGGGGUUAGCGUUGUUCGGAAUUACUGGGCGUAAAGCGCACGUACGCGGAUUAGUCAGUCAGAGG
rnacentral:rRNA from 1 species